rnacentral:rRNA from 1 species
UACGUAGGGUGCGAGCGUUAAUCGGAAUUACUGGUCGUAAAGCGUGCGCAGGCGGUUUUUUAAGCCAGAUGUUAAAUCCCCGGGCUUAACCUGGGAAUGGCAUUUGGGACUGCAAGGCUUGAGUGCGGCAGAGGAGACUGGAACUCCUGGUGUAGCAGUGAAAUGCGUAGAUAUCAGGAGGAACACCGAUGGCGAAGGCAGGUCUCUGGGCUGACACUGACGCUCAUGCACGAAAGCGUGGGGAGCAAACAGG